GUGCUCACUUCAACAGCAUAUAUGCUAAAAUUGGAAAAAUACAGAGAAGAUUAGCAUGGCACCUGAGCGAGAAUGACACACAAAUCUGAUGGAAAGAUCUUCCAUGC
rnacentral:snRNA from 1 species